UGGUACCUUUUAUAAGGCUGAUUAGUCUUAAAAUAUGCUCAGUGGAAACAAAAAGCAUAAAAUGAGGUCUGAGAGGUUUUUACUCUUUUCAUUGAAACUGCUGCAUUUCUUUCAGUAAGUCACAGGUACUGACUUUUCAAUCAAGUAUUUUUUUGGAGAACAGUUGUUUUUGCCAGCACAGCCUGUAAAUUAUUUCAGAAGUGCAAGCUAAUUCAGCUUUCCCGAGUGUCUCUGAAUAGGCUAACCUAAGGCUUCUGGAGACAGAACUGCGAAGCUCCCCCCCAGCCCCCAGAGGAAGAGGACAGGAAAGAUACUUCACUCCGCGGGAUAUCUCCAGGGCAGUCAUUGUAAGAGAAUAAAACAGCAAAUGAUCAGGUAAGGCAACUUGUUUUUUUCCUUGCAGUGGCAAUUUCUGAAUGCAAACCCAGAGGAAGACCUCCUCUUCACAGUUCCUGAUUCCUCAGCUAGAACCUCACUAAGGUUAUUUCCUGAUGAUUCCUUGGACUUUCUUUGUCAUUUCCUGAGUCAUGCAUCCCUUCCUUUUACUGCAGUGGCUGUUCUAUAACAGUAUCUGGCGCUACAAGCAUGUAGUGAACCAAGCACCCAUAUUUGUAUCCAAAGUCCUGGAUAGUCUGUACAGCCUGUCCUUAAUCUGUUUUUUACCUCCCUGGCUUCACUCUCCCAUUCAUGAAAGCUAGGACAUAAUGUUGAUAUGAAGAAAUAAACUUAUUAAAAGCAUUAGAAGGCAUAUGCCUUCAAUGAAAAAUAAGGGUCAAAAGUAGAAC